rnacentral:rRNA from 1 species
AUACGGAGGAUGCGAGCGUUAUCCGGAUUUAUUGGGUUUAAAGGGUGCGUAGGUGGUAGAUUAAGUCAGCGGUGAAAGUUUGUCGCUCAACGAUAAAAUUGCCGUUGAUACUGGUUUCCUUGAGUACGGUAUAGGCGGGCGGAAUUCGUGGUGUUGCGGUGAAAUGCUUAGAUAUCACGAAGAACUCCGAUCGCGAAGGCAGCUCACCGGGCCGGAACUGACACUGAUGUUCGAAAGUGCGGGUAUCAAACAGGAUUAGAUACCCUGGUAGUCCGCACAGUAAACGAUGAAUACUCGCUGUUUGCGAUACACUGUAAGCGGCCAAGCGAAAGCGUUAAGUAUCCACCUGGGGAGUACGCCGGCAACGGUGAAACUCAAAGGAAUUGGCGGGG